UAUAUGACAAUUAAAAACUACCCACUUCCAAUUUCGUUCCCAGAGCCCAGUGCCUUUAUGCCAAAAGUGACACAAAGGUACGUGGGCUCUGUAAACGAGUUGCGCAGCCCUCUGUUUACGCGCCUGGGUAAAGGUGCUAUUGGUCACGUGAUUCACAAACGGCGCCAGCGCCAAGGAACCUCAGACCACGUGAUCUCGACCCGACGGGCGCGAAACUAAAAAGGUCUUCAAAACGGUUCGAAACUUGGCUGUUAUACCCGUAUACCUCUCUCAAGCAACACCCUUACCUGAUUGGCUGGAUCGCUAUAGCUCAAAUUUUCACAGUGUUCAAGCCAAUUCUGAUUGGUCAAGACUGUUCAGCAUUGCCCGUGUGUUCUCACUGUAAAUGCCAGCCUUCAUAAUCCAGCUUUCCAGAUUUCAAGAAAAAUAAGGAACAUGAAUUUAUCGAAGCAAAACAAAAAGGACAACGUGAUGGAUACAAACUUUUUAAUACAAUAUACCACUUAAACCUAGAGCUCAAGAUUUCACAAUAUUAAACAGCCAUCUAGGGGAGUUCUGUCUAAUUAUAGCACAUAGGAAAUGUAUCUAGAAAUACCAUUGUAAAUUGCUAUAUGCAAAGUACAUCAAGUUGUAAUACCUAAACUAAUUGUGUACCUUUAUUUCUUUUCAAAAUAUAUUACGCUUGGCUCAGC